GCUUCUAUGACGUUAGCGGCGGACGGGUGAGUAACACGUGGGCAACCUGCCUGUAAGACUGGGAUAACUUCGGGAAACCGAAGCUAAUACCGGAUAGGAUCUUCUCCUUCAUGGGAGAUGAUUGAAAGAUGGUUUCGGCUAUCACUUACAGAUGGGCCCGCGGUGCAUUAGCUAGUUGGUGAGGUAACGGCUCACCAAGGCAACGAUGCAUAGCCGACCUGAGAGGGUGAUCGGCCACACUGGGACUGAGACACGGCCCAGACUCCUACGGGAGGCAGCAGUAGGGAAUCUUCCGCAAUGGACGAAAGUCUGACGGAGCAACGCCGCGUGAGUGAUGAAGGCUUUCGGGUCGUAAAACUCUGUUGUUAGGGAAGAACAAGUACAAGAGUAACUGCUUGUACCUUGACGGUACCUAACCAGAAAGCCACGGCUAACUACGUGCCAGCAGCCGCGGUAAUACGUAGGUGGCAAGCGUUAUCCGGAAUUAUUGGGCGUAAAGCGCGCGCAGGCGGUUUCUUAAGUCUGAUGUGAAAGCCCACGGCUCAACCGUGGAGGGUCAUUGGAAACUGGGGAACUUGAGUGCAGAAGAGAAAAGCGGAAUUCCACGUGUAGCGGUGAAAUGCGUAGAGAUGUGGAGGAACACCAGUGGCGAAGGCGGCUUUUUGGUCUGUAACUGACGCUGAGGCGCGAAAGCGUGGGGGAGCAACAGGAUUAGAUACCCUGGUAGUCCACGCCGUAA
rnacentral:rRNA from 1 species